UACGUAGGGGGCAAGCGUUGUCCGGAAUCAUUGGGCGUAAAGAGCGUGUAGGCGGCCUGAUAAGUCGGCUGUGAAAGUCAAGGGCUCAACCCUUGAAUGCCGGCCGAUACUGUCAGGCUAGAGUCCGGAAGAGGCGAGUGGAAUUCCUGGUGUAGCGGUGAAAUGCGCAGAUAUCAGGAGGAACACCUAUGGCGAAGGCAGCUCGCUGGGACGUUACUGACGCUGAGACGCGAAAGCGUGGGGAGCAAACAGG
rnacentral:rRNA from 1 species